CGGGUAGCUCAGCUGGAUAGAGCAACAGCCUUCUAAGCUGUGGGUCGAGGGUUCGAAUCCCUCCUCG
rnacentral:tRNA from 2 species